UUUCUUUAUCAACGUGUUCCCUUGCCAUUCAAUCAUGCCCCUGCUUGACAUGAUGUACUUAGGAUAUCUCUUCAUUGCUCUAUAUGUAAGUGGCACAUUCAAACCAGAAUAAUUGAAGCCUGCAAGAAUAUCAUUGCAAACCCUUUUGUUUUUUUCCAUGAAUAAAUGAAGCCUUUAAAUGCAUUAGGACCUACCUAGUUACCCCAUCACUUAUACCUGGGAUAGUGACAUAGAAACAUAAAAACAUAGAAACAUAGAAUGUGACGGCAGAUAAGAACCAUUCGGCCCAUCUAGUCUGCCCAAUUUUCUAAAUACUUUCAUUAGUCCCUAGCCUUAUCUUAUAGUUAGGAUAGCCUUAUGCCUAUCCCACGCAUGCUUAAACUCCUUUACUGUGUUAACUUAAACCUUUCAGCUAGAAGGCUAUUCCAUGCAUCCACUACCCUCUCAGUAAAGUAAGUGACAUCCUUAAGGUAAAUGAAGCUCAUGCUUAGCAACACAGAGGAAGAAGAGGACGGUAGUUACAGAGGUUCUAGUGUAUACCGAGAUAAUGAAUGCCUUAAAUCCUUGGGUGAUUCUAAUGGAGAGGCCAACUUCUAUAGGUACCGUAACUCGGAAGCUAAUAGUAUGUGAUAAUAAAAAGGAGUAUACACCGAAAAUGAAAGAAAAAAA